rnacentral:lncRNA from 1 species
CCCUGAGUCCCGGUGCCUCAGCUGCCCAGUGCCCACGGUAAAAGUCUAUUGCACUGAGCUGUGGCAAACAGCAAAUGAGAUUACCAAAGAUUUGAACAACUGUUAAUUUAGAAAAAGUGCUGUCGUUGUAAUAACAACUUCUAGGAGACCGGCAGCCCUUUUCAGCCCGGUAGGCAGCUCCUGAUUUUUUAAUGGUUCUUAGGUUUGACAGAGCAGUAAGCAAAAAGAUCAGAUGAACCUCGUGAUGCUUUCUUUAAAACAUCUUUUUGAGACAGGGCCUCACUCUCGCCCAGGCUGAGUGCAGUAGCGCAAUGAAGGCUUACCUCAGCUUAGACCUCCUGGGCUCAAGUGAUCCUCCCAUCUUGGCCUCCCAAAGUGCUGGGAUUACAGGCCUGAGCCACUGCAUCUGGCCAAAAAAAGAAAAAAAAAAGUUUUUCUUUGCCUUUUUCAAAAUUGACCAACGAGAAGUACUCUGGUUACAGCUUGGUUUGCUGAAGUAGAACUUUCCAGGCUGGCGAUUGUGCAGUAGUAAUUGCUAUUUACUCCUCCCUUUUACAGUUCGUAAGAAGGCAACAAGUUCUUCUCCUCUACAGAAGGAUUUUGCAAACAAUUCGGCAAGUUCCAAAUGAUUCUGAUCGCAAAUACCUGAAAGAUUGGGCAAGAGAAGAAUUCAGAAGAAACAAAAGUGCCACCGAAGAGGAUACAAUCCGGAUGAUGAUUACUCAAGGCAAUAUGCAGCUCAAGGAGUUAGAAAAAACACUUGCUUUAGCAAAAUCUUAACUAUAGCAUUAUUCUGAAGGAUUUUCAAAGUCUCCAUGUGUUUUGUUGCAUUUAGGAUUAACAAUGGACAACACAAAGCCCAGUCUUACUAUUUAUAUGUACAGUAUUUGGUGAUAGAGAGCAAAGGAAAAACACAUCAGAACAGUUGCCUUAACACUGAAAAACAUACCCUGCAUUUUGAAAAUGUUUAUGGAUGUCUCAGCAGUUCUU